rnacentral:rRNA from 1 species
GGUUAAGCGACUAAGCGUACACGGUGGAUGCCCUGGCAGUCAGAGGCGAUGAAGGACGUGCUAAUCUGCGAAAAGCGUCGGUAAGGUGAUAUGAACCGUUAUAGCCGGCGAUGUCCGAAUGGGGAAACCCAGUGCAAUUCGUUGCACUAUCGUUUGAUGAAUACAUAGUCAAACGAGGCGAACCGGGGGAACUGAAACAUCUAAGUACCCCGAGGAAAAGAAAUCAACCGAGAUUCCCCCAGUAGCGGCGAGCGAACGGGGAGCAGCCCGGAGUCUGAAUCAGCUUGUGUGUUAGUGGAAGCGUCUGGAAAGUCGCAGGGUACAGGGUGAUACUCCCGUACACUAAAACACACAGGUUGUGAACUCGAAGAGUAGGGCGGGACACGUGGUAUCCUGUCUGAAUAUGGGGGGACCAUCCUCCAAGGCUAAAUACUCCUGACUGACCGAUAGUGAACCAGUACCGUGAGGGAAAGGCGAAAAGAACCCCGGCGAGGGGAGUGAAAAAGAACCUGAAACCGUGUACGUACAAGCAGUAGGAGCCCACUUGUUGGGUGACUGCGUACCUUUUGUAUAAUGGGUCAGCGACUUAUAUUCUGUAGCAAGGUUAACCGUAUAGGGGAGCCGCAGGGAAACCGAGUCUUAACUGGGCGUUAAGUUGCAGGGUAUAGACCCGAAACCCGGUGAUCUAGCCAUGGGCAGGUUGAAGGUUGGGUAACACUAACUGGAGGACCGAACCGACUAAUGUUGAAAAAUUAGCGGAUGACUUGUGGCUGGGGGUGAAAGGCCAAUCAAACCGGGAGAUAGCUGGUUCUCCCCGAAAGCUAUUUAGGUAGCGCCUCGUGAACUCAUCUUCGGGGGUAGAGCACUGUUUCGGCUAGGGGGUCAUCCCGACUUACCAACCCGAUGCAAACUACGAAUACCGAAGAAUGUUAUCACGGGAGACACACGGCGGGUGCUAACGUCCGUCGUGAAGAGGGAAACAACCCAGACCGCCAGCUAAGGUCCCAAAGUCAUGGUUAAGUGGGAAACGAUGUGGGAAGGCCCAGACAGCCAGGAUGUUGGCUUAGAAGCAGCCAUCAUUUAAAGAAAGCGUAAUAGCUCACUGGUCGAGUCGGCCUGCGCGGAAGAUGUAACGGGGCUAAACCAUGCACCGAAGCUGCGGCAGCGACACUAUGUGUUGUUGGGUAGGGGAGCGUUCUGUAAGCCGUUGAAGGUGGCCUGUGAGGGUUGCUGGAGGUAUCAGAAGUGCGAAUGCUGACAUAAGUAACGAUAAUGCGGGUGAAAAACCCGCACGCCGGAAGACCAAGGGUUCCUGUCCAACGUUAAUCGGGGCAGGGUGAGUCGACCCCUAAGGCGAGGCCGAAAGGCGUAGUCGAUGGGAAACAGGUUAAUAUUCCUGUACUCGGUGUUACUGCGAAGGGGGGACGGAGAAGGCUAUGUUGGUACGGGCGACGGUUGUCCCGGUUUAAGCAUGUAGGCGGAUGUUCCAGGUAAAUCCGGAACGUUACUAACGCUGAGGUGUGAUGACGAGGCACUACGGUGCUGAAGUGACAAAUGCCCUGCUUCCAGGAAAAGCCUCUAAGCAUCAGGUAACAUCAAAUCGUACCCCAAACCGACACAGGUGGUCAGGUAGAGAAUACCAAGGCGCUUGAGAGAACUCGGGUGAAGGAACUAGGCAAAAUGGUGCCGUAACUUCGGGAGAAGGCACGCUGAUGGUAGGUGAAGUGACUUGCUCAUGGAGCUGAAAUCAGUCGAAGAUACCAGCUGGCUGCAACUGUUUAUUAAAAACACAGCACUGUGCAAACACGAAAGUGGACGUAUACGGUGUGACGCCUGCCCGGUGCCGGAAGGUUAAUUGAUGGGGUUAUCCGUAAGGAGAAGCUCUUGAUCGAAGCCCCGGUAAACGGCGGCCGUAACUAUAACGGUCCUAAGGUAGCGAAAUUCCUUGUCGGGUAAGUUCCGACCUGCACGAAUGGCGUAAUGAUGGCCAGGCUGUCUCCACCCGAGACUCAGUGAAAUUGAACUCGCUGUGAAGAUGCAGUGUACCCGCGGCAAGACGGAAAGACCCCGUGAACCUUUACUAUAGCUUGACACUGAACACUGGUCCUUGAUGUGUAGGAUAGGUGGGAGGCUUUGAAGUGUGGACGCCAGUCUGCAUGGAGCCAUCCUUGAAAUACCACCCUUUAAUGGCUGGUGUUCUAACGUGGGCCCCUGAUCGGGGUUGCGGACAGUGUCUGGUGGGUAGUUUGACUGGGGCGGUCUCCUCCUAAAGAGUAACGGAGGAGCACGAAGGUCAGCUAAUCCUGGUCGGACAUCAGGAGGUUAGUGCAAUGGCAUAAGCUGGCUUGACUGCGAGCGUGACGGCGCGAGCAGGUGCGAAAGCAGGUCAUAGUGAUCCGGUGGUUCUGAAUGGAAGGGCCAUCGCUCAACGGAUAAAAGGUACUCCGGGGAUAACAGGCUGAUACCGCCCAAGAGUUCAUAUCGACGGCGGUGUUUGGCACCUCGAUGUCGGCUCAUCACAUCCUGGGGCUGAAGUAGGUCCCAAGGGUAUGGCUGUUCGCCAUUUAAAGUGGUACGCGAGCUGGGUUUAGAACGUCGUGAGACAGUUCGGUCCCUAUCUGCCGUGGGCGCUGGAGAAUUGAGGGGGGCUGCUCCUAGUACGAGAGGACCGGAGUGGACGCAUCACUGGUGUUCGGGUUGUCAUGCCAAUGGCAUUGCCCGGUAGCUAAAUGCGGAAGAGAUAAGUGCUGAAAGCAUCUAAGCACGAAACUUGCCCCGAGAUGAGUUCUCCCUGACCCUUUAAGGGUCCUGAAGGAACGUUGAAGACGACGACGUUGAUAGGCCGGGUGUGUAAGCGCAGCGAUGCGUUGAGCUAACCGGUACUAAUGAACCGUGAGGCUUAACCUU